UACAGAGGUCCCGAGCGUUGUUCGGAUUCAUUGGGCGUAAAGGGUGCGUAGGUGGCAGGGUAAGUUUGAUGUGAAAUCUCCGGGCUUAACCCGGAAACUGCAUUGAAUACUAUCUUGCUCGAGGUUUGGAGGGGGGGACUGGAAUUCUCGGUGUAGCAGUGAAAUGCGUAGAUAUCGAGAGGAACACCAGUGGCGAAGGCGAGUCCCUGGACAACACCUGACACUGAGGCACGAAAGCUAGGGGAGCAAACAGG
rnacentral:rRNA from 1 species